AGUGCACACUCUGUGAGCGCCCAUGGCCUUCCCUCCUCCUCUUCCUGUGAUUAGUAGACACGUUGAUUAGUAGACUUUGUGAUUAGUAGACAUGGAGGCAUCUCACUUUUGCAUUGGGAGCAGCAGCGGGGGUGUGAGUAGAAUGGAUUUCGUGGAGUCAUGGAGAGGUGAACUGCAGCUGUUGACUUGAGACGACCCUCUUGCUAAAAAACAGUUUGCUUCAGAAGAACCUCAAGACUCUCCUGUUUUCUCAGGCUUCUAAUUAGAAUUAAUUUUAAUAAUUUUAAAAACUUGUUUUAAUAAUUAUUUUAUUCUAUUUCUUUUAUUGUCAUGUAUUUUAAUUUGUGACUUUUAAAUAUUUUAAAUUGUAUACACCACCUAGAGAUGUACAUAUCAGGCAGUAUAAAAAUAUGAUAAAUAAAUAAAAUAAAUAAAUUCCCCUAGACACUUCUA